CGCUGGCGGCGUGCCUAAUACAUGCAAGUCGAACGGUCUUUUCUAUGGAAGCUUGCUUCCACUGAGAAGAUAGUGGCGAACGGGUGAGUAACACGUGGGUAACCUGCCCAUAAGAGGGGGAUAACAUCCGGAAACGGGUGCUAAUACCGCAUAGUUUUCUUGAUUGCAUGAUCGGGAAAGGAAAGACGGCCUUUGUGCUGUCGCUUAUGGAUGGACCCGCGGCGUAUUAGUUAGUUGGUGAGGUAACGGCUCACCAAGACGAUGAUACGUAGCCGACCUGAGAGGGUGAUCGGCCACAUUGGGACUGAGACACGGCCCAAACUCCUACGGGAGGCAGCAGUAGGGAAUCUUCCGCAAUGGACGAAAGUCUGACGGAGCAACGCCGCGUGAGUGAAGAAGGUUUUCGGAAUCGUAAAACUCUGUUGUCAGAGAAGAACAAGUUGGAGAGUAACUGCUCCAGCCUUGACGGUAUCUGACCAGAAAGCCACGGCUAACUACGUGCCAGCAGCAGC
rnacentral:rRNA from 1 species